GUCAGGAUGGCCGAGCGGUCUAAGGCGCUGCAUUCAGGUUGCAGUCUCACAGGGAGGCGUGGGUUCGAGUCCCACUCCUGACA
rnacentral:tRNA from 1 species